rnacentral:lncRNA from 1 species
AUGGGGCCAAGUCCAGCCUCGCGGACACUUAGGGUUCCCACAGGAUUUGGAGGCUUUUCACUCCAUGAACAGGGUUCCAAUUACCUCCCCAUUCAGAACCAGCUCAUUAUUGAUGUGCAGAUUUCAGGUUCCCUUGGCAGUCUGAGCAGUCCUUUCUCUCCCCAACCCACACUGAGCCAACAGCUGAAGGCACUGUGCACCAGCAGAGACACCCCAGGGCGCUGUGUCCGGAUUAUUCCUGCCCACCAUAUCCUCGGAGUCAGUCCGAGCCAUACUCUCACUGGGCUCAUUGUGCAGUUCUGGCUCUUCAUUUAUUUUCAGUUUCAGUCUUCACUGCCUAAUAACAAGAGUGUUUUCUUCCUCUCCCCCUUCCCCACCAGGCCCUGCAGAGCCACUUGGGGUAAAUCAGAUGAAGGACAGAGGAUGGAGGCAUUCUGCACUCGAGUUAAAAUCAAGCCAAGAAAUGAAUCUCUUGUUAGGAAUUUUGCCUGGUGAAUCAUGUUGAACUGAGAGCUGUCUGUGGUGAGCACAGGCAAUAUCCAAUCACUAGCUGUACUUCGCCUCCUCACAGUUACACCCUGCUGUGUGAGGAAAGUGUCUCUCUUCCUCAGAAAACAAGAUCCAAGGUGCAAAACCCAUCAACUGGGGCGUCAUGGAAUAUCUUGGAAAAUUUUAGAGCUAGUAAUUUCCUUCUGCCAGGAAUAAUUUGGUUUAGUCUUUCUUUUUCUAAAUGUCCACAUCAGCAGUGGAAUAGCAAAACAUGAAUUGGACUGCCUAUGGACCGUGAUUUACUGUCACUCUUUCCGACCAGGCUUAGACUACAGGCAGGUACUAACCCAGAAGGCAGAAGUCUGGAGGCCUGAAAGAAUUACAGGACAAAAUACUGGCCCCUCACAGGAACUGAGCAAGACUUGAGUGUCGGAAGUCCAGACAUGUAUUACAUUUAUUCAUUAAACAAUGAUGUACUGAGUGGCUAUGUUGAACCAUUUGCUUCAUCACACAACUGGGACACAUUGGUGGUGGAAUGCACAAGAAUCCUUGUGAAAUGAAGUCUGCACAUUCUAAAAGCAGGAGACCAGCAAUUAACAAUACAUGUGAUAACAGAGUAAAUUCUGCAGUGUGUUGGAAGCUGAGAAAUUCUACAGGAAAAAAUAAGGUAGGGCAGUAGGGACCAAGAUGUCAAGUUUCAAAGAUGGGGUCUGCAUCUCAUGGCCCAUGGUAGGAAACUUGAUUUUACUUUGGGUCAGAUGGGAGCCCCUGGGGAGUCUGAGUUCUUUGUAUACUGAGUCAGUCAUUCAUUCAGUCCAUACAGGAACAGUAUAGGUGAUUUCUGCAGUGUGCAGGUUGACAGCCGCAGUGUUGCUGUCUAUACAGAACUCUUAUAUAAUUAUUUGUUUUAUUGCACUGUGAUUUCAUUAUUUUCAUUAAAAAAAUCAAGUGCUGGACCUAACACAUGGAGACAAAGUCAGAAGUCAUUGUAUCUUUGGUUCUUAACCCCGAUAAUGCAUUAAGAGUCCCCUGGUGUGCUGUUAUAGCAUAAUAAUACCAGCAUCCAUACUUAGAGGCUGUGAUUUCAGUUGCCUGAUAAAGAGCUCAAGGUUCAGAAUUCCUAGAAAAGCAGAAUACAGAAACAAAAAUUCUACAGUAAUUCUAAUGUGCCACCAAGGUUGACUAAUUCUGCAUUAGCUGUUUUUAAAUUUAAUGCAAUUUAAAAAAAAAUUUUUUUUUUGCUACCAGGGAUUGAACUUGGGACCUUGUGCUUGCAAGGCAGGCACGAGAACCACUGAGCUAAAUCCCCAGCCCCAAUUUAAAAAUUUUUAAUUGACACAUAGCUAUAUAUUUAUGGGGUAGAACUAUACAUAUAUACAACAUAUCAUGAUCAGAUCCGUGCAGCUGGCACCUUAAUCACCUCCAAUAUUUAAAAUUUCUUUGUAUUGGUAAUAUUUAUAUCCUUCUCUACUAACUGUUAAAAUGUACAAUUAAUCUUCAUCAACCAUAGUUACCCUAUUAGGCUAUAGAAUAUUAGAAGUUGUUUUUCCUCUUCAACUGCAACUGUACCUGUUAGCUGCCCUUUCUCCAGUCCUGCUGCUGCCCCACUUGCCCUGGUGUCCACAGUUCUUCCCUCAGGUCUGUGAGAUCACCUUGCUGAGCUUCCACAUGUAAAGGUGAUGCAUAUUGUCUUUCUGGGCCCCACUGACUUCACUUAAUGUAACAAACUAUAUGCUUAUCCAUGUUGCCACAGGAGAAGGAUUUCUUCUUUUUUAUGUCUGAAUAAUAUGCCACUGUGUUUAUGUACCAUAUUUUCUUUUUCCAUUUAUCCAACCAUGGAUUGGUGAGAAUGCUAAUUAAUACAGCUGUAAUGGCAAACAGAAUGAAGUUUGCUCAAAAAACUAGAAAUAAAACUGAGUAUAUAUCCUAAGGCAUAACUUUAGUACCUUAAAGAGUUAUCUGUUUACUUGUGUUUGUUGUAAUCCUCUUCAUGGUAGCCAAGAUGUAAAAUCAAACUAGGUGCAUUAGAUGUUUUGAAGGUUAAAAAUUUUUUUGGUUUAUUGAACUAAAACUGGCAGUUCAGGGUCAAGAAUAUACACUGAAGCUUCAAAGGGUUUCAUCAGAUACUGUAUUUUCUAAGUAAACAAAGCUCGAAUUUCAAACAUGUUUCAGUGUGGGAACUCCUUGCAUCCUAUUUUAGUUAGUUUCUACAGUAGGUCUUAAAAGCAGGGCCCUGGGGGUCGCUGAGACGCCCCUUUCUCUGAUGGUAAUGGAGCACGUCUGCAGCGUCUGCAGUGGGUCCCUGACGCUCGGCAGCAGGCUCCACGUGGGCCUGGGCCCCACGCUCCGCCCUCAGGAGCAAGGCAGCCCUGCACCUUAGCAAGCCCUCAGCUAACCACUCACAUCGAAGUCCGAAUGGCAACUCACUGCGUACGGGCUACUUGCACAAGAAAAAGUAAAAGAUAAAACAGUAAGAAAGAGAUGGAGAGCUAAUAAGUGCAAUUUAUUUUUUCUUUUCAAAUGGCACAUGACAACUACAUAUUUAUAGGAUAAGGUCUGGCAUUUCUAGACAUGUAUAAAAUGUACAAUGUUCAAAUCAAGGUAAUCGGCCAAUCUAUCCCCUUAAACUCAAGCAGCCAUCCUCUCCUUGUGUUGGGAACAUUCAAAAUCCUUUCUUCCAGCUGUUUUGAACCAUGUGAUAAAGAAUUGUUAACAGUCACCACCCCGUGCCGUAGAACCCUGGGACUUACUCCUCCUGUCUAUGAGUGCUUUAUUGCUAUGUAGCUCUUUGCCUUCCUCUCUGGUAGCAUGGUGUGUUGCUCAAAUUUUGUUGCUAUAACCAAAUAUCUAGGGAAAAAACUUAAUGGAGGGAUGAUUUAUUUUGGCUCCCAGUUUCAGAAGUUUCAGUCCACAGUUAGCUGGUUCCAUCCCCUUAAGCCUGUGGUGAGGCUGAAGCAGCAUGGUUUCUACCACGAAAGGGCACGGCAGAGGAAAACUGCUCAUCUCAACGUGGCCAUGAGGCAGAGAAGAAGAGAAAGGGCCAGACAGGAAGGGGCCAGGGUGUGAAAUACUCUGCAAAGACGUGGCACCUCCACUUAGACUAUCACCUCCUAACAGCCCGUUCAGCUAAGGAGCUCAUCAGCGGGUCGACCCACGGGUGAAGUUAGCAUCUUCUUGAUUUCAUCACCGCUGUGGGCCCCACCUCUGAACACUGCCGCACCGGCGUUCAAGCCCUCAGUGCGUAAGUCUUUGGGGGAUGCUUGGUAUUUUGAUCCUAACACGAGGCAAGUGACAGGGAGCUGUCUGUUACCCCCAGAGACACUGCAUGCUACCUGUAAAGCCACCUUUGGUCAUUUCCAAGUGGGGUUUUCAAUUGUUAAAUCAUCAUUGCCAUCAUUAUUACCCUCACAGAUUUAUAUUUAUUAUCUAUGCCACUGUCACAACAAUUCUAAAAAUUAGAUACAAUUUCACCCCUUUUUUACAUCUGAGGAGACCCAUUUUUGUGGCCAUUCGCACAGCUUCAGCAGUGGCCUGGCAGGCUCGGAGCCCCCGCGGUGUGGCUUCAACAGUGGGACACUUGGCGACCACAGUCUGCUCUACUCUAUUUGACUACAAAUUCUAGAUGCAGACCCGAUGCAGGUCCUAUAACUGCUUUAAGAAUUAGAAUGUGGGUCAUGUCCAUUUUUGCCCAAUGUUUUUUGAAGAUAAAAUAUUCUCAGAAUUUACACAUUCACUGUUCACUCUGAAAAUGAGCAGAGUAGCUCCCAGUUUUCCCUGCCAUCAAAUGACCUAGAUGACAUUAGACAGUGUGUGUGCUACAAAGAUAAAGCACAGAGGGGCUGAGCGUGUAGCUCAGUAGUGCAUCACUUGUGUAGCAUGGAUUGAGCUCUGGGUUUGAUUGCCAGCACCAGUCUCUCACACACACACACACACACACACACACACAACAUUUUGCAGGCACCACGAGGUGAGUUUUAUCUCCUUCCUUGAAAUCUGUAACCUGCCAGCUUCUUUUGACCUGAUUUGCUCACUGCUCUCAAAAUGUGGUGGCCAGAAUCCUACUAAUGUUGGGUGGGGAACAGUCCAUUUCCAAAAGCCAGAUUACCCAGAUGGAACAGAGAAAUCUGUCACUGGUCUCCAAAUAUCAACAGUGUAUAAUUAGCAGCUGCUAAAAUAAUAGAAGUCAAUUGAACAAAGAUAUGGUAUGCUCAGCGUUCAUUUAUUAAAUACCUUAUGUUUCCAAACAGGGCUGUUCACAGUGGCUGAGGAGCCUUCUGGGGCAUUUCAGCAGCGUCCCUGGACACAGUGAAUCGACAGACUUCUUUUUGAAAAACUUCUAUAAAGAGCUAUUGCUGCAUCCAGCAGGAAGCCAUAGACACAACUAUUUUACAUCUGCGUGAUGAAACAAUGUAUUUAUCAAAAGCAACCUCUAAGUAGGUUGCCAUUAUCAAAGACAUCAGCAGCCCAUCUCCCUGGGAGACAGUGAAACCCUGCAUUUAUCUAAAUUAUCUCGGUAAUAUGACGGAGUGAUUGCUCACUAAUGGUCAGUAAUAGUUUUCUUUGUCAUUUUCCUAGUCAUUACCUCCUCAGAAUGAACUCCAGAAUAAACUGCUUGGAGUCUGUGACUAGAAUGCUAAGUUCCACUUUGUGUUUGUGGCUGGUUCUUUCAAAUGCAUGAACUGGGCUAACAUAGUUCUGACAUUUCCAUUUUGUGCAGAAGAAUGCCCUGCCUUAGGAAGUCUGAUGGAUGCAGGUACUUUACAUGCAAAUAAAACAUGCUGUUAGCCUUCUCCCUGGUUGUGAAUUCUGUCUGGAGUCUGACAAAGCGAGCACUGUCAGUCUGCUCAGAAAGGGA